rnacentral:rRNA from 1 species
GAUGAACGCUGGCGGCGUGCUUAACACAUGCAAGUCGAGCGGGCAAUUUAUCUAGCACUGAUUACUUCAAAUGGCUAUCGCCAGUGUAAUCAUGAAUUUCUACCUUUUAAUAAAGAAAAAAGAAAUUCAUGUACGCAAAUAGUGAUAACACAUGAAAGUGGAGUGAUGAGUGCUGGAUAAAUUGCUAGCGGCGGACGGGUGCGUAACACGUGGGUAACCUGCCCCUAUCACUGGGAUAACACACUGAAAAGUGUGCUAAUACCAGAUAAUAUAAGCUUUUGGCAUCAUUAGCUUAUCAAAGAAUUUCGGAUAGGGAUGGGCCCGCGUCUGAUUAGCUAGUUGGUGAGGUAACGGCUCACCAAGGCAACGAUCAGUAGCCGACCUGAGAGGGUGAUCGGCCACACUGGAACGUGAGACACGGUCCAGACUCCUAC